rnacentral:rRNA from 1 species
GACGAACGCUGGCGGCGUGCUUAACACAUGCCAGUCGAACGGAAAGGCCCUGCUUUUGUGGGGUGCUCGAGUGGCGAACGGGUGAGUAACACGUGAGUAACCUGCCCUUGACUUUGGGAUAACUUCAGGAAACUGGUGCUAAUACCGGAUAGGAGCUCCUGCUGCAUGGUGGGGGUUGGAAAGUUUCGGCGGUUGGGGAUGGACUCGCGGCUUAUCAGCUUGUUGGUGGGGUAGUGGCUUACCAAGGCUUUGACGGGUAGCCGGCCUGAGAGGGUGACCGGCCACAUUGGGACUGAGAUACGGCCCAGACUCCUACGGGAGGCAGCAGUGGGGAAUAUUGCACAAUGGGCGGAAGCCUGAUGCAGCAACGCCGCGUGCGGGAUGACGGCCUUCGGGUUGUAAACCGCUUUCGCCUGUGACGAAGCGUGAGUGACGGUAAUGGGUAAAGAAGCACCGGCUAACUACGUG